UACGAAGGGGGCUAGCGUUGUUCGGAAUCACUGGGCGUAAAGCGCACGUAGGUGGGUCGCUGAGUCGGAGGUGAAAUCCUGGAGCUCAACUCCAGAACUGCCUUCGAUACUGGCGAUCUUCGAGUCCGGGAGAGGUGGGUGGAACUGCGAGUGUAGAGGUGAAAUUCGUAGAUAUCUGGAGGAACACCGGUGGCGAAGGCGGCAUCCUGGACCGGUAUUGACGCUGAGGCGCGAAAGCCAGGGGAGCAAACGGG
rnacentral:rRNA from 1 species